GACAAGAAAUAACAAUACAGGACUUUAAAUAGUUUUGUAAUUGGAAUGAGUUAAGUAUAAACCCCUUUACAAGUAUCAAUUGGAGGGCAAGUCUGGUGCCAGCAGCCGCGGUAAUUCCAGCUCCAAUAGCGUAUAUUAAAGUUGUUGCAGUUAAAAAGCUCGUAGUUGGAUUUCUGUUAAUAAUUUAUAUAUAAUAUUUUAUUAAUAUUUAUAUAGUAUUAACAUAAUUCAUAUUACUAUAUUUUAUAGUAUAUGAAAUUUUACUUUGAGAAAAUUAGAGUGCUUAAAGCAGGCAUUAGCCUUGAAUACUCCAGCAUGGAAUAAUAUAAAAGAUUUUUAUCUUUUUUAUUGGUUCUAAGAUAAAAAUAAUGAUUAAUAGGGACAGUUGGGGGCAUUUGUAUUUAACAGUCAGAGGUGAAAUUCUUAGAUUUGUUAAAGACAAACUAGUGCGAAAGCAUUUGCCAAGGAUGUUUUCAUUAAUCAAG
rnacentral:rRNA from 1 species